GUUCUCCUUAUCUAAUCGUUGCUGAACUUCCAAUGGGUUUGUGCGUAUGCAAGACUUGCGUACAUUUUCUAAGAACUCGAACGAACCACUUGAACCUUGAGUAUCUGUUGAAUCUAAGUGUAAAUGUGUUGAAUGGGAUCUCAGACGAAAUACCAGCGUUUCAAGAUUUUUUCUCUUCACUUGUUGGAUAACUUAAAGAUGUACAACACGAGUUUCUUCCUUAGAUGUAUUACGAAAGAACGAAGUACAUUGUAUGUGCUGAUAUUAUAAAGAUUUUGGCACUAAGUGAAUGAAAGUAGUAUGAGAAACUCAUACUAAGUUGAAGUGAAAUUAUUCUCCUGAUUUAUUAAAAUAUUAAAAAUGUACAAAUAAUUUUCUUAAAUGAUAUAUUCUUGGAGAA